GGAUUAAUACCCCAUAGUAAUACUAAGUGGCAUCAUUUGGUAUUUAAAGUUUCGGCGGUAGAGGAUGGCUAUGCGUCUUAUUAGUUAGUAGGUGAGGUAACGGCUCAACCUAGACAGCGAUAAGUAGGGGCCCUGAGAGGGGGGACCCCCCACACUGGUACUGAGACACGGACCAGACUCCUACGGGAGGCAGCAGUGAGGAAUAUUGGACAAUGGUCGACAGACUGAUCCAGCCAUGCCGCGUGCAGGAAGACGGCCUUACGGGUUGUAAACUGCUUUUAUACGGGAAGAAUAAUACCCACGUGUGGGUAGAUGACGGUACCGUAAGAAUAAGGACCGGCUAACUCCGUGCCAGCAGCCGCGGUAAUACGGAGGGUCCGAGCGUUAUCCGGAAUUAUUGGGUUUAAAGGGUCCGCAGGCGGGUCAGUAAGUCAGGGGUGAAAGUUUGCGGCUUAACCGUAAAAUUGCCUUUGAUACUGCUGGUCUUGAGUUGCGGUGAAGUGGCUGGAAUAUGUGGUGUAGCGGUGAAAUGCAUAGAUAUCACCUAGAACACCGAUUGCGAAGGCAGGUCACUAACCGCCGACUGACGCUUAUGGACGAAAGCGUGGUGAGCGUACCGGGAUUAGAUACCCCGGUAGUCCACGCCGUUAACGAUGGACACUAGCUGUCGGGCCGAAUUUAGGUACGGUGGCUAAGCGAAAGUGAUAAGUGUCCCCACCUGGGGAGUACGUCGGCAACGAUGAAACUCAAAAGGAAUUUGACGGGGGCCCGCACUAUCGGUGGAGCAUGUGGUUUAAUUCGAUGAUACGCGAGGAACCUUACCAGGGCUUAAAUGUAGUGGGACAGGCUUAGAGAUAGGCUUUUCUUCGGACUCAUUACCAGGUGCUGCAUGGUUGUCGUCAGCUCGUGCCGUGAGGUGUCAGGUUAAGUCCUAUAACGA
rnacentral:rRNA from 1 species